CCUAUGCAAGAAUGCAGGAUUUAGGCGGUGAACAAAAGCAACAUAUCAUAAUAACAUCAAUGGUAUGCCUCUGAAAGCUUUAUUUUAUACCGAUAUUUUGUUAACAUGAUAUUACAGGCCUGCAGUUCACUACACACGGACUGGACCCGACAGGCCCACGGCGUCUGUGAGUCCUUGCUUGAACACAGUCGUAGGACCAUCAGGCAACAGGGCAGCGGAGACUGUUGUCCUCUCUGACCCCCAGGAGCAAAGAAACGUGCCAUCUACCGGCAACCAACAACCAGCCGCCAAUGUGGUCCAUACGUAUGCAGACCGCAUCACAAACACACCCCCAUUGGAAGCCCAGCCCAUCCGCAUAGUACCUCCUACCCAAUACGAAGACAUCAACAACCUCCAGAUGUCAUCUCCUGUCGAGACCCCGCCUCUUUU